GUACUAACAUUCUUCAAAUAGCAAUUUGAUUACUUUAAAUAGCAAUUAAUUUCCUUUUUUUUUUAAUUUUAUUCUGUGAGCUUUUUUCUUUCAACUUUAAAAAACCAAGUAUUUUAUAAUUAGCAAUAUGAUUAAUACUUCAAGUAGCCUUUAAAAGUACUUUCUAGUGUAUGCGCGUGAAGUAGAGCUACUGAUUUUU
rnacentral:lncRNA from 1 species